CGAGUCAACAUAGCAAUAUGUGGCAUACGGCUCAGUAACACGUAGUCAACAUGCCCAGGGGACGUGGAUAACCUCGGGAAACUGAGGAUAAACCGCGAUAGGUCAUCACUUCUGGAAUGGGUAAUGACUUAAAUCUAUAUGGCCCCUGGAUUGGACUGCGGCCGAUCAGGCUGUUGGUGAGGUAAUGGCCCACCAAACCUGUAACCGGUACGGGCUCUGAGAGGAGGAGCCCGGAGAUGGGCACUGAGACAAGGGCCCAGGCCCUAUGGGGCGCAGCAGGCGCGAAACCUUUGCAAUAGGCGAAAGCUUGACAGGGUUACUCUGAGUGAUUUCCGUUAAGGAGAUCUUUUGGCACCUCUAAAAAUGGUGCAGAAUAAGGGGUGGGCAAGUCUGGUGUCAGCCGCCGCGGUAAUACCAGCACCCCGAGUGGUCGGGACGUUUAUUGGGCCUAAAGCAUCCGUAGCCGGUUCUACAAGUCUUCCGUUAAAUCCACCUGCUUAGCAGAUGGGCUGCGGAAGAUACUAUAGAGCUAGGAGGCGGGAGAGGCAAGCGGUACUCGAUGGGUAGGGGUAAAAUCCGUUGAUCCAUUGAAGACCACCAGUGGCGAAGGCGGCUUGCCAGAACGCGCUCGACGGUGAGGGAUGAAAGCUGGGGGAGCAAACCGGAUUAGAUACCCGGGUAGUCCCAGCUGUAAACGAUGCAGACUCGGUGAUGAGUUGGCUUAUUGCUAACUCAGUGCCGCAGGGAAGCCGUUAAGUUUGCCGCCUGGGGAGUACGGUCGCAAGACUGAA
rnacentral:rRNA from 1 species